rnacentral:tRNA from 1 species
GAAGCUAUAGCUCAGUGGUAGAGUGCGUGCUUAGCAUGCACAAGGUCCUGGGUUUGAUCCCCAGUACUCCCA